GUAGGCUCGCACCCUGGGGGACACACUGGCUUCUGCGGAUGGCCUCGGGGCAGGACAGGCCGAGUCCCCACGGGAAAGCCCACAGGUGCACGCUCAGGGCUUCAGAGCGACCACCUGCGUGCUCAGGAAAGCCGGCUCACCUGGCGAGGCUUGGCCUUCCUGCGGGACCAGGACAAACCUCAACGCAGUGAACUGCGCGGACCGAGCUUGCGGGAGUCGUCAAAACCCUAUGGAAGCAGAUUUGUGUGUCAGAGCCUAAUCCCUAAAGUGAAGAUAUCAGGAGGUGGGAUCUUUAGGAGUCCUUUUUUUGGAGGUAAUGCAACGAGUCAGGCCGGGUGAAAGCCCCUCACUUCUCUGCCCCGGUGAUGCCGUGGGCCCUGCUCUGCCUGCCGCCUCCGCGUCCCCCAUCCGUCCGUCAGUCCGUCCGCUGUGCUCCUCACUGAGGAGGUGCUUCGCCGGCUCCUGCUUCCUGCGCGCAUCCCCUCUCUGGCGGGGUGCUCUCCCAC
ensembl:lncRNA